rnacentral:snRNA from 1 species
UCAAAGUGAAGAAAUUCAAC